CAUAUCCAAUCCGAUCCCUUCCUCCCUCGAUCCACCACCAGCCCUAAUUUCUUGAUCCGCAAUUUCAAUCUCCUCCUCCUCUCUGAGUUCCACCGUCAGACAUGAAUGCUCCUCUAUCAUCAUCCUCCUCUCCUGGCCUCCUUCUCCUUCUUAACCAACCUCCUCUAUUAGAGAUGUCGGCCUUCUCCUCUCCCAAGCUCCUCUAUCGAAGAGCAGUAUACCUUUACUGGCCUCUUCCUCCUCCCAGCCCCUACUCUUAUCGAGCUCCCCUUCCCAGCCCCUACUCUCUCUCGUCUCCCUUCCUUGUUCUUGUCCUUCAACCCACUGCCGCCGGCCUCUAUCGAUUGAGGGUGCUCUGAUCUCUGCCACCCAUCACUCCGACCAACCAGCCCCUCCGUUGACGACAUUGUCAUCAUCCCUCAGAUCUCUGCUAGCCUGCUCUUCUCUCUGUGGUAAUUCAUGCUUAGAUCUUCACUGCCUUGGUUGCUAUUUUGCUCUGAAUGACGCUAAAGUCAAAUGCUGCUAUGAAUCUAACACUAAUAUUUUGCUAUGAAUUUAUGCCUUAUUUGGUAAUCCACAGCUUUUCUUAGUUGAUUAGGCUAUAAAUUAUCAUUCAGUUGAAAAGGCCUACUUAACUUUUUCACGUUUGGCUUUGAAAGAAGAGUAUUAAGCAAAAUGUGAUUAGCUUCCUAACUACUACAAACCUACACUAUAAUGAUAUGAACAAUAUCUACGACUGUACAAUGAUCUAGGCAGACAUCCAAAUGUUCUCCAAUAUCAUUAUAUUUAUAAAAAUUAGUCUAGGUAAAACUCAUAAUUGAAAUAUCUAGGUUGGGAUUUGACACUAAUGCUAAUGAUCAGAAACAAAAGUUCUCUUUAAUUACUAUUUUAUUAGAGAAGUUGAUUGAUAUGAGACAAAGGUUGGACCUGGAACCAGACCAAUAUGUUAUUUACUUUGGGUACGUUUUGAUCAUUCUAUGGUAGUAAAGGGAUAGCAUUAGAGAAGAAAUGGUUCACCCCCCUUGUAUCAUUUUUGUGACAUGAUAUAUUUACAACUUUAUAAUGCUUGUAUUUUGAGCUUGAUGAUUAUAAAUAAAUAGGAAUAAGAAAAAGCUUCCUGUAAAAAUCCAUAAACAUGACUGCAAAUGGUCCAAUUAUUCCUCACCACCUGUUGGGUAAUGGUUGACACACAACAUAAAUUGUAACAAAAUGAAUCGUUGCAUGAGAGAACUUAAGGGGAAUAAAUUGGUCAAAUUCUGAGCUCGAUCACCCAAAUUAAUGAACUAGAAACUAGGUAACCAGAACUAAUCAAGCAUGUAAUGCCUACCUUUAAUGUAGUUAGUCAGGUAAGGACCAUUUUUGGUUUUGUUUAGAUCAUAUCCUACUUCCCCAUUUCAUAAAUAUGAAUCUAGACCCAACUUAGCAUUAUCAAAAUCGGAAUCAUUUAGCUAGGGUUUAGCUUUUUCACUAUAAAAAAGACUAGACUUAGACUUUGUUCAAACAAAUUUAGUAGAAUUCUAGGCCCGAGCCUCUUGUAUAUAUACUUUAGUAGAAUGCCAUAGGUAUCCCUUUCUAUAUAAAUUUUUACCGAACCCAAUAUUAAAUAUUUAAUUACUUUUAUUUUUUAGAAGUUGCAAUUUUAAUUAGAAUUUUUAUAUAAUAGAUAAAAGUUGGAUAAAUAAGUUGAGGUCCAACAAAGCUUACUUGGAUGGAGUUCAAACUUUUAUUAAAUUUGCUGUUGAGAAAGCUAGUACGAACAAAAAAAAUACUAUAUCUAUGUCAAAAAUAUGUAAAUCAAAAUUAUUUAGCUAGGGUUUACCUUUUUUACUAUAAAAAAGACUAGACUUAGACUUUGGUCAAACAAAUUUAAUAGAAUUCUAGGCCCGAGCCUCUUGUAUACUUUAGUAGAAUGCCAUGAUUAUCCCUUUCUAUAUUAAUUUUUACUGAAUACAAUAUUAAAUAUUUAGUUAUUUUUACUUUUUUAGAUAAGUUGUAAUUUCAAUCAGUUUUCUUAUAUAAUUGACAAAAGUUUGAUAAAUAAGUUAAGGUCCAGCAAAGCUUACUUGGAUAGAGUUCAAACUUUCAUUAAAUUUUCUAUUAAGAAAGCUAGUACGAACGAAAAGAUUUUAUAUCCAUGUUAAAAAUGUGUAAAUUAUUCUUUUCUUACUCCAAAAACUGAAAAAAUUUUAGUGUGGAAUGAUUUUAUAGACGAUUAUACAAAGUGGGUAUUUCAUAAAGAGUCCAUGUUGCCAUCUCUAUAUAAUUGACCUUUCUAUAUACAACAUACCUCUUUUUGGAUCUAGUAACAUGCAAAGAAAUUUUGCAGAAAACGAUGAUAUGAGGGGUUUACUCAGAAAUGCUCUAAGAGUUGGUGUUGAAAUUUAGGAGAUUUUAGUGGAGGACAAGAAACAGUUGAGAUGUUUGAAAGGUCUAUAUUUACUGGUUCUAUACAUGUCGAGGAACCUAUACAUUCAUCUAAAUAAUAAGGUAGAUCAGUAUUGGAACUUGGUAAAAGAUUAUGAUCAAAAACUAUAUAUGGGUUGUAAAAAAUUUUCAAAAUUUUUUCUUAUGUAUUUAUUCUAUUUAAAAUAUAUUGCUCUAAUUAUUAAAGAAUGUAUUUUUGAAAAGUGUUGCUUUGUUAUCAUCUUUUUAUAAAGCUAAGAAACUAGUAAAUAAAUUUGAUCUUGGAUACGAGAAGAUUGACACUUGUCCAAAUGACUGUAUGUCAUAUCAAAAUAAAAAUGUUAACCAAUAGUCCAUCACGAUAGGUAACACAUAAAGAAGAUGAGGAUAAUCUAUUGAAUGAAAUGGAUACGAUAUGAAGUAUGAAAAAAUUGACCAAAGCUUUGCAUUAUUUUUCUCUCAUACGUAGAUUGAAAAGGAUCUACCAUCAUAGAAUAUAGCUUCUUUGAUAAGAUGACGUGAUGAAGGUCAUAUAAAUGAUGGAAUAUUAAAACACCCAAUAGAUAGUUUAGAAUGAAAAACAUUUGAUGAUAAACAUCCUGAUUUUGCUUCUAAUAUUUCUACUGUUAGACUAGAUCUGGCUAGUAAUGGCUUCAAUCCAUUUCAGACGAUGAAGUUAGUUAGGAUAGAUGUUGAAGGAGAGAAUGAUGCUUGAUUCUUAUUGGUAAGAAAUAUUUAAGAUGUAUACAUUGUGUGAAAUAUUAUUUUCUUUUAGCAUGUUCAUUUAAUAAAUAUUGUUUCUUAUUAACAAUUUAUUUAGUAUUGUAUUAAUUGAUAUUGAUUUUAAUUUGUGUAAAUUAUGUAACAUAAUGCCAUGAGGAAAAUGAUUGAGAGAUGUGGAGUUCUAGCAUUCUUAGAUUGGAUUAUUUUCUGGUCGGUCCUAGUAGUCCCAACAACCCCAUAAGCCCCAUGGACUCAAGCAGCUCCUGAAUCCCAGUAUCCCUAUGUAUACCAAUAGCCUAAGGAUGGUCCUUUGAUACGACAGUCUUAGUAGCUUCAAGCAAGAUCUUGCUCAUCUGGGCAGCAGCCCUAAUUCCAGAACGAGCCUCCUUUUGAUUACUCAGAUGAGGAAGUUAUUAUAGAUGACUUGCAGAUCCAAGACAGAUAUGGGAGAGUGAGGAUGAAAUGGAGAUCCAUAUGAGCAAGGGAUGUGUGACAACUCGGUGAAGGUGAGAGGUCAAUAUCAAAUGCAACCAGAUGGGGCAGCCCAUCAAGAGGGUUGAAAGCAUAUUAGCAGAUUUUUUAGGAUUAGUUGGGCAAAAGGGUCAGCUGUGUCUGCUCAACUAUGCUAGAUUAAAUGAUAUGAUUACUUCCUAUAAGGUUGAGCUUCUACGAGUUGUGCAUAUUAAGAAUUGGAUUUGAUAUCAUAUUUUAACUUGCUAAUGAUCAUAAAUAUCUAAUUCAAUUUACCA